rnacentral:rRNA from 1 species
AGGGUUUGAUCAUGGCUCAGAACGUACGCUGGCGGCACGCCUAACACAUGCAAGUCGAACGAAGUAGCAAUACUUAGUGGCAGACGGGUGAGUAACAUGUAGGUAUCUGCCCUUUGGCCUGGAAUAACACGAGGAAACUUGUGCUAAUACCGGAUAAGUCUUUACGGAGAAAGCUUUAUGCACCAUUGGAUGAGCCUGCACUUGAUUAGUUUGUUGGUGGGGUAAUGGCCUACCAAGACUGUGAUCAAUAGCUGAUUUGAGAGGAUGAUCAGCCACAUUGGGACUGAGACACGGCCCAAACUCCUACGGGAGGCAGCAGUGGGGAAUCUUGCACAAUGGAGGAAACUCUGAUGCAGCGAUGCCGCGUGAGUGAAGAAGGCCCUUGGGUUGUAAAGCUCUUUCGUCGGGGAAGAAAAUGACUGUACCCGAAUAAGAAGGUCCGGCUAACUUCGUGCCAGCAGCCGCGGUAAUACGAAGGGACCUAGCGUAGUUCGGAAUUACUGGGCUUAAAGAGUUCGUAGGUGGUUGAAAAAGUUGGUGGUGAAAUCCCAGAGCUUAACUCUGGAACUGCCAUCAAAACUUUUCAGCUAGAGUAUGAUAGAGGAAAGCAGAAUUUCUAGUGUAGAGGUGAAAUUCGUAGAUAUUAGAAAGAAUACCAAUUGCGAAGGCAGCUUUCUGGAUCAUUACUGACACUGAGGAACGAAAGCAUGGGUAGCGAAGAGGAUUAGAUACCCUCGUAGUCCAUGCCGUAAACGAUGUGUGUUAGACGUUGGAAAUUUAUUUUCAGUGUCGCAGCGAAAGCGAUAAACACACCGCCUGGGGAGUACGACCGCAAGGUUAAAACUCAAAUGAAUUGACGGGGACCCGCACAAGUAGUGGAGCAUGUGGUUUAAUUCGAAGAUACGCGCAGAACCUUACCAACACUUGACAUGUUCGUCGCGACUUUAAGAGAUUAAAGUUUUCGGUUCGGCCGGACGAAACACAGGUGCUGCAUGGCUGUCGUCAGCUCGUGUCGUGAGAUGUUGGGUUAAGUCCCGCAACGAGCGCAACCCUCACUUUUAGUUGCCAUCAUUAAGUUGGGCACUCUGAAAGAACUGCCAGUGAUAAGCUGGAGGAAGGUGGGGAUGACGUCAAGUCCUCAUGGCCCUUACGUGUUGGGCUACACACGUGCUACAAUGGUAUCUACAACAGGAAGCAAAACGGCGACGUUAAGCAAAUCCUUAAAAGAUACCUCAGUUCGGAUUGCACUCUGCAACUCGAGUGCAUGAAGCUGGAAUUACUAGUAAUCGUGGAUCAGCGUGCCACGGUGAAUGCGUUCCCGGGUCUUGUACACACCGCCCGUCACACCAUGGGAGUUGGUUCUACCUUAAGGCAAGGUUUAAAACCCUUGACCACGGUAUAGUCAGCGACUGGGGUGAAGUCGUAACAAGGUAGCCGUA